rfam:Populus trichocarpa scaffold_12_contig_165, whole genome shotgun sequence.
UCUAGAACUCGAAAUAUGAGCUGAAGACUGAACAGUGUCUAGGCUGCAGGACAAAUUCUGAUUUAUCUUUUGCUGCUACAAUUUGAACUUGAAAACGGCCGUUUUGAAUCUUGGAUUCUUCAUGAAAGUUUUAGGCCUAUGUCUUAGCUUUUCAUC